AUGGAUUUCGAGCUGCGGAGCGCGCCGGAGAAGCUGGAGAGGGAGCAGCGGGAGCGGAUGCAGCGCGCUAAGGCCAAAGCCGACCGUGAGCGCCGCGCCAAGGCCGAGGCCGCGCGCCGCCGCGACGCGCUCGAGGCCUCAAACAGGGAGCGCCGCCUCGACGCCGCCCGGGCGCAGGAAGAGGCUGACCAGAAAAUGGAAGAGGUGAUGCAACUAGGAAAGGGGAUAUCUUUUUCACACAUGUUUGAAGCACUGCGAUAUGACGGUCCAGGGGAUAAGAUUAAGCUGCCACCGUCUUCUUUCAAGGAUUUAUCCGAUCAAGGAGCGCUUGACAAAGGUCCCAUGUACUUCAGGCUGUCCAAGGUUAGGGACAGAGUUCCAGGUACCUCUCCAGAUCAAGACGCCGAGGAGGCAACCUGCUGUGGCGUUCUUGAAUUCACUGCAAGGGAAGGCUCUGCACAACUCCCAUCACAUGUCUGGAACAAUUUGUUUCAGAGUGACAUCCCAGAUGUUCCUUUGAUUGAGGUGAGGUAUGCAAGUUUGCCCAAAGGGACAUAUGCGAAACUUAAGCCGGAAGGAGUGGGAUUCUCAGAUCUCCCUAACCAUAGAGCUGUCCUUGAAACGGCACUGCGCAAUCACGCAACACUAUCUGAAAAUGAUGUUGUCAUGGUCAACUACGGACAACUGCAGUAUAAGUUGAAGGUUCUUGAGUUGAAGCCCGCAUCAAGUGUUUCUGUGCUGGAGACGGAUAUUGAAGUUGACAUUGAGAGACCAGAUUCAGUUUUCGACAAUGAAGAAAAUCAACAUGUGCUUGUGCCGCUCGAGACUGGGAAGGUCGAAUCUGGAGCUGUGGAAGAAGGGAAGUUCAGGUACUACAAAUUUUCUGUCGAGGAAGGUGUGGCUGAGAAAGUUGCGUCUGGUUGUGUAAAUAUUGAGGUUAAGAUAGAGUCUGAUACAAGUGGCAGUGACACUGAUAUUUAUGUUUCAAGGCAUCCUUUAGUAUUCCCAACUCAGCACCGUCAUGAGUGGUCAUCUCAUGAGAUGGGAUCUAAGGUUCUUAUACUCAAACCAAAGGAUGCUACUUUGGUCAGUGGCCUUUACAGUCUUGGGGUUUACGGUUUCAAGGGCACAGCGAAGUUUCAACUUUCUGUAGCUGUCAAGGAUGUUAUUGAUAGCCAAAGGAUUGAUGAGCAGGGUAGUGUGUCAUCAGCCGUCAAUGGUGACUCAGUGGUUUGUAAGAACUGCAAACGACAUAUAUCUAGCCGGACCUCAGUACUUCAUGAGGCAUACUGUGUGAGGCACAAUGUUAUUUGCAUGCAUGAUGGAUGUGGAGUAGUUCUUCGUAAGGAAGCAGCAGCAGAUCAUGUGCAUUGCAGUAAGUGUGGACAAGCUUUCCAGCAGAGAGAAAUGGAGAAGCACAUGAAAGUCUUCCAUGAGCCGCUGAACUGCCCCUGCGGGGUAGUUCUAGAAAAGGAAGAAAUGCAGUAUAUGAUAAUGGGCUGUUUGGUUCUAGGCCUAGCAGCCACAUUUUGCCACACAUUUUUGCCAAGCUUGCCCAAGGUCAAACACCAAUCCUCAACCUGCCCAUUUCGCCUGAUUGUGUGCCGUUUCUGUGGCGACACGGUUCAAGCUGGUGGACAACCGCUGGAUGUUCGAGAUCGGCUUCGAAACAUGUGCGAACAUGAGAGUAUCUGUGGAUCCAGGACUGCACCAUGCGACUCUUGUGGGCGAUCGGUCAUGCUUAAGGAGAUGGACAUUCAUGCAAUUGCUGUCCAUCAAAAGAGCUGA
rnacentral:rRNA from 1 species